CAGUGGUUCUCUAAAAGAAGACAUUUGUAUGUAUUUCCCAUAGGGUCCUAUGUUAAACUAAGUCCCCCGCUGGUGGCCAUCUUGGAUGAUGGAUCGGCUACAAAGUAACAACACUUAGUCAGCACCUCAUAAGGAACAUUCAUGCCAUGUUUGGUUUCAUUCCAUUCAGUGGUUCUCUAAAAGAAGUCAUUUGUAUGCAUUUCCCAUAGGGUCCUAUGUUAAACUAAGUUCCCCGAUGGCGGCCAUCUUGGAUGAUGGAUCGGCUACAAAGUAACAACACAUGGUCAGCACCUCAUGAGGAACAUUCAUGCCAUGUUUGGUUUUAUUCCAUUUAGUGGUUCUCUAAAAGAAGUCAUUUGUAUGCAUUUCCAAUAGGGUCCUAUGUUAAAUUAAGUCCCCCGCUGGCGGCCAUCUUGGAUGAUGGAUCGGCUACAAAGUAACAACACUUGGUGAGCACCUAAUAAGGAACAUUCAUGCCAUGUUUGGUUUCAUUCCAUUCAGUGGUUCUCUAAAAGAAGUCAUUUGUAUGCAUUUCCCAUAGGGUCCUAUGUUAAACUAAGUCCCCCGCUGGCGGCCAUCUUGGAUGAUGGAUCGGCUACAAAUAACAACACUUGGUCAGCACCUCAUAAGGAACAUUCAUG